UACGUAGGGUGCAAGCGUUGUCCGGAAUCAUUGGGCGUAAAGAGCGUGUAGGCGGCCCGAUCAGUCCGCUGUAAAAGUCCAGGGCUCAACCCUGGAAGGCCGGUGGAUACUGUCGGGCUAGAGUCCGGAAGAGGCGAGUGGAAUUCCUGGUGUAGCGGUGAAAUGCGUAGAGAUCAGGGGGAACACCGAUGGCGAAGGCAGCGCUCUGGCCGAAGACCGACGCUGAGGCGCGAAAGCUGGGGGAGCGAACGGG
rnacentral:rRNA from 1 species